ensembl:lncRNA
CACUUUCUGAAGAAUAGACUUCUAAUCAUAAGCUUGAUUUAGUUACAGAGGUGCCUGUGGCUUUCAAACGACUCCUGUUUUGUCCCAGUGAACAGAAAAUAGAGAUUGGGAGAAAGUGUAUUAAGGGUUUUAUAAAUGGAAACAUUUUAACUUAGAAUUGAUGAGUUUAAAAAAAAAUAAGCUUUACCAAUACUCUCACUGACAGUGUUUAAGGAAACUUCUGUUUACUGAAACACGAUAAAGGUGACGUGUAGAAAUUACCAUGGAAGUGAUUCAAGACUCCAUUAUUCCAUUGCUUAGGAAAACAGAAUUCAAGAAGAUUUGCUAUGGAAAUUGCCUGAUUAAGCCAAGAAAUCAUCUGGAAAUCAGACUGAUUUAAAACCUGGGAUCUUCUAGCACAUCCUAGACACCUUUAAUCUUAUAAUUCCACAGGGAGCUGACAGUGACCCAGGAGUGACAGAAGGAAAGAAUUUUAUUGCGGAGGGGAAGACUACGUAAUCCGUGAAGUAAAAUAGAAUACAGAGGUGGAAGAUCGAGGCAAUUCCCCAGGAGGUGCUGCCCUCUCAUACCACUGGGUUUGGACGGGCAGUUUCAUGCACAGGAAUCUAGGAUCCUUGGCAACCACUACGAAGAUGGUCUCCGCUCUUCAAAGAUCUGGCAGCCAGAGACAGCACCUGGAAUCUUACCUCAUUUUCCUAGGAUCCAGCCUCCACAGCUGUCCUUAAUUUUUCUUGGAU